rnacentral:rRNA from 2 species
AAAUUGAAGAGUUUGAUCAUGGCUCAGAUUGAACGCUGGCGGCAGGCCUAACACAUGCAAGUCGAACGGUAACAGGAAGCAGCUUGCUGCUUUGCUGACGAGUGGCGGACGGGUGAGUAAUGUCUGGGAAACUGCCUGAUGGAGGGGGAUAACUACUGGAAACGGUGGCUAAUACCGCAUAACGUCGCAAGACCAAAGAGGGGGACCUUCGGGCCUCUUGCCAUCAGAUGUGCCCAGAUGGGAUUAGCUUGUUGGUGAGGUAACGGCUCACCAAGGC